rnacentral:rRNA from 1 species
CACCGGCGGCUCGAGUGGUGGCCACUUUUAUUGGGUCUAAAGCGUCCGUAGCCGGCUUGGCAAGUCCCCUGGGAAAUCUGGCGGCUUAACCGUCAGGCGUCCAGAGGAUACUGCCAGGCUUGGGACCGGGAGAGGUGAGAGGUACCUCAGGGGUAGGGGUGAAAUCGUGUGAUCCCUGAGGGACCACCAGUGGCGAAGGCGUCUCACUAGAACGGGUCCGACGGUCAGGGACGAAAGCUGGGGGCACGAACCGG